UACGGGGGGGGCAAGCGUUGUUCGGAAUUCCUGGGCGUAAAGGGCUCGUAGGCGGCCAACUAAGUCCGACGUGAAAUCCCCAGGCUUAACCUGGGAACUGCGUCGGAUACUGGAUGGCUUGAAUCCGGGAGAGGGAUGCGGAAUUCCAGGUGUAGCGGUGAAAUGCGUAGAUAUCUGGAGGAACACCGGUGGCGAAGGCGGCAUCCUGGACCGGCAUUGACGCUGAUGAGCGAAAGCUAGGGGAGCAAACGGG
rnacentral:rRNA from 1 species